AUUGAACGCUGGCGGCAGGCCUAACACAUGCAAGUCGAACGAGUGGCGGACGGGUGAGUAAUGUCUGGGAAACUGCCUGAUGGAGGGGGAUAACUACUGGAAACGGUAGCUAAUACCGCAUACCAUCAGAUGUGCCCAGAUGGGAUUAGCUUGUAGGUGGGGUGACGGCUCACCAAGGCGAAGAUCCCUAGCUGGUCUGAGAGGAUGACCAGCCACACGGGAGCUGUGACAAUGUCCAGACUCCUACGGGAGGCAGCAGUGGGGAAUAUUGCACAAGGGGCGCGAGCCUGAUGCAGCCAUGCCGAGUGUAUGACGAAGGCCUUCGGGUUGUAAAGUACUUUCAGCGGUGAGGCGUUACCCGCAUAAGAAGCACCGGCUAACGCCGAGCCAGCAGCCGCGGUAAUUC
rnacentral:rRNA from 1 species